CCACAGUUCAGUUUUGUAGGUUUAUUUUUGCCUCCGGGUCCAGAGGGCCAGGUUACCCGUGACUGGCACUUCCUGGACCCAGUGUCCUGUAGCAGGUGCUUUGCUGGAGCAGCCAAAGGGAAGGGAUGGUGGAGGUGAGCCAGCUGCUAGGAGCUUGGCACAGGCUUGUGUGCUCCUGGCCAGCCCCGCGCUGCCAGCGAUCCUCAAGUCAUUUUUAACAGCUGCUCCCACCCCCCAACCUGUCAUCUGUCACUUGGUAGGAAGAAGUCCCUCUCUUGUCCACCCUGCCUUUUACUCCCAGGGUCGGGGAAGCGCCCAGUUUUUCGGUCCCUGGUCACCCUGCCCCAUCACACUUCCCCUCCUUGGUUUCCUUCAAGUGAAAAGCAAAACUUUCUGCGCGCUGCGGUCUGGGAGCCGCGAGGGGCGGCGCGCGUGUGCGAGGGGGCCGAAGCUGGAGAGGAAGCGGCGGUCCUGGGCAGGAGGAAGGAGCCAGCCCUCGGCUCGGCCCCCUGCCCGUUUCCCGCCGCCUCCGCGGUCGCAGUCACCACCGUUGCCGCCGUCCGGAGCGCAGCCAGCCGCACGAUGCAGGGCGCGGGUUCCCGGGGCGCUUGGAUCCACAGUCCGAGCCACUGCCCAGGCAAUGGGCAUGGCUCGCCGCCUGCAGUAGCCCCUCAGAGGCGGCGGCUGACACGGAGACCAGGCUACAUGAGAAGCACAGCCAGUCCUGGGAUCGGGUUCCUGUCUCCAGCAGUGGGCAUGCCACGUCCGAUCUCAGCGGGGCUGACAGGCCAGGAGUUCUACCCCUCACAGUCCAAGGCUAGACAGUGCAGCCUUGACCUCAGAAGCCACUGCCAAGACUCAUUGGUGGGCAACCCUUUUCUCAAGGGCUCCCUUGGCCCUGCUGUGACCUCUGUGGGCCACCUGCACCCAGCCCAGGGCUCUAUGAGAGAAAGGAUGGUGCACUCUGGGGUUCAUUCCGGGAAUGACAGAAGACAAUCCGAGAGGCUGACUGGGGACAGUGGUUGUCGGCAAGAAUUUUUAUCUUCAGACAGCUCUAAGUCUCUGGCUUCUAGCCUUGAUGUAGCUUGGAGCAAGGGAUCGAGGGGCCUGAAGACUGUGAGGCCUCUGGUAUCACCGGCGUCGAAUGGCCCCGUUGACAUCCCAUCCCUUCCUGGGUUCCAAGACACCUUUACUUCCAACUUCAGCUUCAUCCGACUCUCCCUCGGUGCUGCUGGAGAACGCGGAGAAGCAGAAGGUUGCCUGCCAUCCAGAGAGGCCGAACCCCUGCAUCAGAGCCCCCAAGAGAUGGCAGCUGAAGGAUCCGGCUCAGACAGGCCCCACGGGGAGCCUCGGCAUCUCUGGACCUUCAGUCUUCACGCUGCUCCGGGCUUGGUGGACUUGGCUCAGGGGACGAGGAGCAACAGGCAACCAGAAUGUGGCAUGGUCUCCUCCUCCGAUGCUGGCUUCUCUUCCCAGGAUGCAUCCCCCGCUGGAGGGCGGAGCGACCAGGACGGAGGCUGGGCGGAUGCCCAUGGAUGGCACGCUCUGCUCAGGGAAUGGGAGCCUAUGCUGCAGGACUACCUACUGAGCAACCGCAGGCAGCUGGAGGUCACUUCCUUGAUUUUAAAGCUUCAGAAACUUCAAGAAAAAGCGGUCGAGGAUGGCGAUUACGACAUGGCAGAGACACUGAGACAGAGAUUGGAAGACCUGGAACAGGAGAAAGGCCGCCUGCCCUGGGCUCUGCCCUCACAGCAACCAGCCCUUCGCAGCUUCUUGGGGUACCUGGCAACACAGACACACGCGGCCUUGCAUGGAGCCCCCCAAAGGGCUGGCAGCGAUGACCCAGAAGCCCCACUUGAGGGACAGCGGAGGACCACCGCCCAGGAUAGCCUGCCGGGACUAGCCGUCACCAGGCGGGACUGGCUGAUGCGAGAGAAAGAGCAAUUGCAGAAGGAAAUCGAAGCUCUCCGGGCAAGGGUGUCUGUGCUGGAGGCGAAGGAACAACGGCUGAGCCAAGAGUUGGAGGAUCAGGAGAUGCUGCUCCGGUGGCAGGGCUGUGACCAGAUGGCACUGGUGGCACAGCUGUCCCCAGGCCAGCUGCAGGAGGUCAGCAAGGCCUUGGGAGAGACUCUGACCUCUGCCAGAUGGGCUCCCUUCCGCGUGGAGCCACCCGAAACCCUCAGGAGCCUCCGGGAAAGGACAAAGUCACUCGACCUGGCUGUUAGAGAACUCACUGAGCAGGUAUGCUCAGGUGAGAAGCUAUGCAGCUCUCUGAGGAAGAGACUCGCUGACCUUGACACCAGGCUGCCUGCCUUGCUGGAAGCCAAGAUGCUGGCCCUAUCAGGAAGCUGCUUCUCUACAGCCAAGGAGCUCGCAGAGGAGAUUUGGGCCGUGUCAUCGGAGCGGGAAGGGCUAGAGAUGUUCCUGGGCAGGCUGCUGGCCCUCAGCUCCAGGAACACGAGAAGACUGGGCAGCGUCAAAGAGGACUACCUCAGGUGCAGGCAGGACCUGGCCCUCCAGGAAGCCGCCCACAAAACACGCGUGAAGGCAAACACUGUGAAGUGCACGGAAGUGUUGGAGGGUCAGCUGAGCUGCUGCAGGUGCCCGCUGCUUGAGAGAGUGUGGAAAGCGGACUUGGAGGCGUGUCAGUUGCUGAUGCAGAGCCUAGAGAUCCAGGAAGCAGGCAGCAGCUCACAUGUGGAGGAUGAGAAGCAGGUGCACAGCACAGGAGAGGCGGCUCAGACAGCUGCCCUGGCUGUCCCUAGAACACCCCACCCCGAAGAGGAAAAGUCCCCCUUGCAGGAAUCUCAUGUCGUUUUUGCUGAAGUUGGAGACAAAUGCGAAGCCAUAGGCAUGAGGCUCCUGCACCUGGAAGACCAGCUUCUCGGCGCCAUGCACGGUCACGAUGAAGCUCUCUUUCAUAUCCUUUCCAUGUUUCAGGGCUUGCUUUGCAAAACAGCAAGUCCAAAAGCGCGUAGCGCUUUCCCACGCCCCAGCAGAUGGAGGCGACUUGAUGAUGUAGUUCAGUACAUCUUGGAUCUGUUAGCCAUGGAGUCCGUACAGGUGCACGGGGAGACCAAGGCAAAGUGGAAGCUUUGGCGGGGCGUGAAGAUGGGUUUGUGUGGCAUAGACGAACAAUCAGAAACAAUGGAGUUUUCCUGGCUCACCUCCUUAAGGUCCUUUUCAAUACCAAGAGUUCCAAAGCCAUCUUUGAAGUCCUUUGUCCUGCCUUCUGCAUGUCCUAGACAGUGGGCUAUAAAAACUAACACCAUUGCAGGUACCUUCUUUCUGAUAUGGAACACAUACUCACGGUUAGGUUUCACAGAGUCCUCCUCGGUUCUGGUAAUCAUAUUUUCUUGCGCCAAACUCGGUAUCUUAGUGCCACAUGACAGACACCUACAUCAAAGUGACACACGGGCUCACUUGUAUGUGCAACAGGAAGCACACGUCCUUGGCGCCGUGUGUGUGUGUGUGUGUGUGUGUGUGUGUGUGUGUGUGUGCGCGCGCGCGCACGUGUGUGCCGCUUGUCCCUGGGGAGCUCUGUGGAAGAACAUGGAUGGGUUCUUUUUAGUUUUAUUUCUAGUGGCUAUAAUAGAACACCCUGACCAAAAUCAACAUAGGGGAGAGAAGGUUUAUCUGGUCCAUACUUCCUGCACAAAUUUCAUCACUGUGGGGGGAACUCAAGGUAGGACCUCAAGUGGUUAGUCUAGUUGAGUCAGCUCUCAUCCACAGUCAAGAGCUGAGGGAAGCAAAUGCUGCCAUGCUGCCUGCUUGCUCAGUCAGCUGGCUUCCUCCUCUCUCGUACAGCUCAGGCUCUAGCCUAGGGAAAGGUGCCUCCCACAGUGGGCUGGGUCCUCCUGUUCCAAUUAACAAUCAAGACGGUCCUCUACAGACCAACCUGACGUAGACAGUUCUUCAACUGAGGCUCCCUUCUCAGUGAUUCUAGGUGUCGGCAACGGGUCAGUUAAAAAGUCAACCAUUACAGGAACACAGGUGGGGAGGGGUUACUUACCCGCCCUGAAUCCCCUCAGGUUGUUGUAAAACUAUAAAAAUAAAAAAAGUAUUGUUGUCUUUUACCUCGCUAGGUCCUGCACUGCGGUGCCCCAAGAUAUCAACUAGAUAUCUUGGCGGAAACACAUCCCAACUCCUCGGUGGCCCAGUGUCUCCUGCCACUGCAUACUUUCCUACACUCAAACCCUCCCAUAAAAGAACACACAACACAAUAAUCUUAGAUCCAGUUUGAUAAGAUAUAAUUGCCCACUUAAACAUAUGAAGCCCAGUGCCAUCCAUCCCUUAAGAACAUCGAUAACAACCUGUAAAUACACAGAGCGAGAUCUUUACUUCAGCCUCCAUUGUCCUGCCACAGCUUCUCCCUCUCCCUCUCUCCUCUCUCUCCGUUCCAGUCUCCUCCUCUUCCUUCAGACUUUUCUCCCGCCCAUCCUUCCUUCUCAUCCAAUGACAGACCUCUUCCUAUCUUGUACCCGCCUCACCUGUGACAUCAUCCCACACCCUCAGGUGUUCACUCACAAGUGGCUUGCUGAAAGCUGCAGUCACCUAUUUGUCUGUUAUGCCCUGUCAGGUAGCCUGGCUUUUAAAUAUUUGUGGGAGAUUUAGGCGUUUUGGUCUUCGCCUCUCAUUGUCUGACUCUUUAGAGCAUCGGUUCCUGUUUUACUUUCAUGCAUAUGUUGAAGUAGCUUUGAACAGCCAGAGGUCGGUCCCCCUCAGAGGAGAUCUGACUAGCGGCUAACAAUGGCGUCAGCAUAUCUCGCGGUAACUUUACAUCUUCCCUUGCUGAUUACUUCGCGGGCUGUUCCUUGAUGUCCCUUGAAUAACUUCUGCCACCACUUCCACGAUUUGUUCGCUUCUGUUUGUUUUUAAAUUCGGUUCUGCACAGUGACCUUCCUCUUCCAAGUCCAGGAUGCAACCUGCAGUUGGCCCAGGAGGCAGGAGGAGGAGGUAGCGUGUCAGUAGAUCACACGGACUUGAGCUCUUGUAGGGGACAUGGUGUCUAUGAAAUAGGACAGUGGUCAUUGCCAGGUAAUGACACAGAGCCAAAGACUGUGGUGGUGGUGGGGGUUUGUCCCAGGUCUGCUGGGGUGAGGAGGGCUUGGGACAGCUGAGUUGGGCGUGGCUCGUGAACCAGGUCAUGGUUGGGAGGGCAUGGCACCUGACGAUGUCAUCUAGGGUGAGGUGUGCUUCAUGCAUCUUUAGUGACCCAGGAAGUAAGGAUCUCGGGUCAGAAGUAGGUGCUGUUAGACCAGGAUUAGGACCCUUGGGACCUGUCUUAGGGUUUUACUGCUGUGAACAGACACCAUGACCAAGGCAAUUCUUUUAAGGACAUUUAAUUGGGGCUGGCUUCUGGCUUACAGGUUCACAGGUUCAGUCCAUUAUCAUCAAGGUGGGAGCAUAGCAGCGUCCAGGCAGGCCUGGUGCAGGAGGAGCUGAGGGUUCAACAUCUUCAUCUGUCAGCCUCUAAGAGGAGACUGACUUCCAGGCAGCUAAAAUGAGGGUCUUAAAGGCCAGGCCCACAGUGACACACCCACUCCAACAAGACCACACCUACCCCAACAAGGCCACACCUACUCCAAGGCCACACCUCCCAAUAGUGUCACUCCCUGGGCCAAGCAUAUACAAGGCCCAUCUUUAAUGACCCGCUUGCACCAGUCAGGAGCCAUCUCUUAAAAAAGGUUUUAGAACCGUACCAAACAGCACUACCCACUGAGAACAAAUGUUCAAGCCCUUGAGCCUGUCCAGGACAUUCCAAACUAUGCCACCAGGAGCAGAAACUACUGGGUUGGGCACUAAGUCAUCCCCCUCCUUAGAUAACAUCUAUACCACAACACACAUUUAUCCCAGCUUUCCUGUGAAAUCCAGGCCGUGUUCUGUGUCACCGAGCGAGAACAACACACAGAGUGUGUCUUUAAUCUGAAGUAGCGCUUGGAUCUGAGUAUUACAAUGGGCCCAAGACAGGGAGCUGUGUUCACAGUGCUCCGUGGGGUCCCAUAACAAACAAAAGCUGUUGUUUCACAUUAGAAUUUAUCAAGGCAUCCGAAGAGGCUGCCGGAAUCCCCCCAGCCAAGCUCUGGCUGGUGUGUGUUUUCGUUUGUGAUCAAAGGCACAAUGCUGAGUGCGAGCGGCUGAGAGAAAAAGCUCGCAACUAAACACGGAAGAGCAGCGCGGGGAGGGUGGCGUCUCACUUGAUUCUAUUAAGCGCGCUGCCAGGACCCACUGCGCAUGUGUAGCAGAUGAUUCCGGUUUUUCGGUCCAAGUCCACGCUGGAAUGUGCUGACGUAAACCCACGGGGGACACCUUUCUGGAGGACUUGAGUCCCAGAUGCUGCGGCUGCCCAUUCUUCCCCGGGGUAGGCCCUUAUCGUAAGCCUCACGCCUGCAGGAGCAAAGCAGGUGGCGUACCAGCGUGCCAUACCCAGAGGGGCGGGCUGGGCUCAGGCAAUAUGGCGGCGGCUUCUAAACCUUCUGAACAGUUCUUGCACAGCCUGUGGGUGUCAGAGCUACAGCAGCCUGCUGGGUGGGAGAGGAAGGCUGGGUUGGCAGAUCUGAGGAUGGAGGAGAACAGGCUGCUUUGUCCCUCCCCUGGCAGGCUUCCUGAGUUCCAGGCAUUGUGAACGACCCAAACCACCAGCCGAGGUGACCCCCUUGGUUAACUGGGAGAGCAGGCGGUGGGGAGGGGAGCGUGGUGCCUCUGGGGAGAGGACAGGGCUGUGACUUCACACUAGGCAUGCUGGGGACCCAUGAACAGUGCCUGAACCUCAAGUUUGAUUUCACAGGUUCUGGAUUCUAAUUAGCAGCUCCAUUUAAGUCCCCCUCCCCCCUUGAGUCUGUGUAACUGUUCCUUCACGCCCAGAAUCCUUCCAUUGGAACGCUUUUAGGCCCGGUGAAUUGUUAAGCAGGAUUUUCCCAACUCCUUUCUUUCUCCUUUGACUUCCGUAGCUCACUCUAGGGGGAAAGGAAGCACAUCAUAUCCUGGCAUCUUGCAGAGCCCCGGGCAGUAGUGCCAGCCUCUGCUGAGUCAUGGAUGAGCAAGGACCAGGCUGAUUCUAUUUGCGUGGUAUUUGCAGCCCCGUCCAGAAGCCUCUUGGGAGCCUAUUCUCUCUACUCAUUGGGAAUGUGCAGUGCCCGGUUGAUUCGUCUUGCUAGUCUUGAUGGCAUGCAGAGACUAAAUGUAUCCAGGCUCAUGAAUAAACUCCACAGCCCCAAAGGGCUCCUGUCUGGUUCCACUUUCCAGUGUGUAGCCCGAAGAGGACAAGGUAGCAGAGCUGAGGGGCGACUGCCCUGUCUCUUUGGAAAUGCUCUUUUGCUUCUAAAACCAAAGAGCAGGGAGGACAUCUAUGAAGAUCUCCAGUGAUUUAUAGCGGGAGAGUAGAGAGACAAACAGGCUGCUCUCUGAGGCACCGUCGUGCUCAGCCGAUGGAGGGCGGCAGCCAUGUGCUUCCUUCUCCCUUCUGCCGAGGUUUGGGUAGGAAAAGUUAGAGCAGACGAUGUGUGCAGAGCGGGGCGACCCUGCUGUCCGUGGGACACAGUGUGAACUUAGCAUGAGGUUGGUGACACAGUCUCUCUGUGCACGUCCCUUUGUCACCAGUGGAAAGGUGUUGGGUCAGGUGUCUUCAGGUCCUUGGUGUCUUCCUCAAAGCAUCGAAAUUAGUAGGUACAGGUUUGCAGAAGUAGCAAGAAUGCUUUCUUCACGGAAAGACGAAAGCACAGGCCUGAAAAGGGGUGUUCCAGAAUGACAGCAGACAUUGCAAGUGUGGGGACACAAGAACCCUGACGGUCUCAGGGUUCCUUUCAUGGGGAUUGAGAGGGGGAAUUGGGUUUGUGUGAUUCUCUAUUUUAGCUGACAUGAUUUAAGUUAUACGUCAGUCUCUCUCAUCUCUUCUCACAAUGCAUCUGAUGUCAAUCUUACGCACGGCAGAUUACUCACAGGCCUACAGUGGAAAAUAGGGGAUUCUCCUGAAAGUGCACUCUGAGGACACAGUUUGCUUUACUGUACACGUGGGCCCAAGUGCAGGCCUCUAGCCUCGACCUCAGCCCAUUUCCCAUUACGUUUCUCUUGUGGGGCUUUGUAGCUUCUCCUUUACUGAGUCUAAAGUCGAAUCCUCACACUCAGCUUAGCGUUCAACCCUGUAAGGCUGACCUGAGCUAAGUGGCAAGAGACCAAGAGACGUCUCCAAGCAAAACAACCUUUGAGUCCUACCCCUUCCUCUCCACCCCCACACCAUCCUGGAGGCUUCUCUCUGCACUGGCAGCCUGCUUUCUCAAUUCUUUGCUCAGAUCUGUUAUCAGGGAGAUAUUCUCAGCACCUUUCCCCAUUAGCAUCCUCUGUCUUUCUCACCCUCACAGCCGUGGCCCUGAGCCCCUCAUUAGUCUCUCUGUCCCUUCAGGGAUCAUCUGCAGGGCAGCCAGACCACUCAGCUAAGUCUCCAGGACCGCCAUCUCUCUGGAACUCUCAGCAUGGCCAACACGCCAUCCACAUGACUAUGUUGGCUCUCUGCUCCCUAUCAGGUGUUUAGACCCCACCUAGAACCAAUUCUGGGCUGUGGGAGGUGAAGGGGGACACCCGAUACCCAGUAGAGGCAAGGCCACAGCCAGUCUUAAAAGAGAGAAGAAAAGAGAGACUUCCUUUCUGCGUAUUCCGUUCUCCGAAGCAUAGCAUGAGCCGCAGUUGUGAGGUUUUUUUCUGACAUGCACAUGGAUUUAAGCGUGACGUGCGUGCGUGCUUGGGCAUCUGAGAAGCAUGGGAAACAAGUAUCUAUCUUCCAGGGCCACUGUCUGGAAGAUCACCAUGGUGUCCUCCUGAAAUAGUUUUCUAGCCAUGAACGGCUUAUCUCUAGAAUAUUUCUUCCAAAAUGGUUUCAUAGAACUGCUCUGUAACUGACUGACCCCCCAUCCAGUUUCAUGUUUUAUUCUGGACUUUUCCAUUUCAGCACACAUCAACUGUUUUACACAACACACACACACACACACACACUCACACACUCACACACACUGACACAUAUACUCACACACACACAAACAUACACACUUGUUCACACACAUACAACACAUACACAUAUACUCACACACACACACAAACACACUCACACACUUGCUCACACUCAUACAACAUACACACACAGCAAACACACGCACACACUCACGCACACUCACACUCACACACUCACACACAGAGUGAAGGUGUGAACUUUUGUAAAUAUAAGCAUGGUGUUUUAAAAGACUUGGUUUUUGUUUUUAAGUGUGUGUGUGUGUGUGUGUGUGUCUGUGUGGGGGGAUGUAUUGGUAUGUGCACAUGAGUCCAGGUACCUACCUGCAGAGGUCAGAUAGGGCGUCGAAUCCCUGGAUCUGCAGUUCCAUGUGACUCCAGGAUGUGUGCGCUGAGAACUAAACUGGGGCGUCUUCUGCAAGAUCUCUGCAAAUUCUCUCUUGAAUUGCAAAUUCUGCAAAUGCUCUCAGCUGCUUCGACAUCUCUCCAGCCCCUAUGAAUGUGAUUUUAAUUGUAUUAGUGGUGCUUAUGCCAAAGGCUUUGUAAAUGAUGUUUUCAGGCAUUGUGCUGGGAAACAAGCCAUAAACCUCAUGGUGCCUUACAAAAGGCUUGCACGCUCGCUCUCUCCCCCCCCCCUUCUCUCUUACACACACACAAACGUGCACACAUAUACACAUACACACACACAAACAUAUGCUCACGUGUACAUACACAUACACACACACACACACACACACACACAAGCAACCUUAGGUCCUGCUCUGUGACCACACUGUGAGAGUCUAUAUCUUACAGACGGGACAAUUAAGUGCACAUGAUGUAAUUUUCCCAGCUUCCCAGGGGACUUGCAUUCUUAGAUCCCAUCUUACUGACUUCGGUGCCAUAAUGGAAAUUAUGAUGUGUGAAACCGAUGUGUUAAUUUAAUUUUAUAAUUUGGUCUUUUCCUCUGGUGACUUGUCUCUGUCUUUAGCCUUUUUUAGUUUGCUCUGUGGUCCCAGAAGUUUCUGAGUGUCACUUUUUGGCUUCAUAACACAUUCCCUGUAAGACCCCGUCAUCACUUGGCAGAGUCUAAGGUGCUGUGUGAGACCAGACCAGUGUCAAAGGUAAUCGGAGCCCAGGACGCCAUCAGGACCACUGUGUACUCAGCUUGCCCCUUGCAAAAGACCAGACCUGUGACAAGUCACAGCUUGGUGUUCACUCUGGGACGCAAUCUUGGCUUGCGCGAAGUCACAUGACUCCUUCUGUUCCCCCCAAGAGAUCGGUAGAUCUUUCCAGAGGUCUGGAGGAAUAGAGGGAAAAAAAAAAACUUUCUACAACAAAACUCAAAGGCUGGUCACUGGAGCCUUUCCUCUCUUGCUCUACCCAUACUGCCCUUGCUCCCCUCAGGUUCCAGCAAAGGUGGCGGACAUCCUGGGAGUGCAUGUACAUGACAUGCAGGGUGAAAUUGGGUGAAACUUCCAGAAGAUAAAUAGUACCGGAACUUUCCAGGGUGAAUUGGCACAUCUGUUUAGGAAAGACUCCUUUGCACAAUUCCUAAAAUUCCCUGGAGUUCUUUAUUCUAAGAAGAUUAGGAGAAUUUUUAUUAUUUUAGUUAGACCCCACAGGCGUGGCUUGCUUUGAACCCUGUGUUGAAAUUAAGCCUGAAGAGAACAGCAUUGCGGUGUGGGUGACCUGUGGCUUGUUUGGUCUCUGCCCUCUCCCCAAAUUCAGUUUCCUCCAUGUCUGGUUUCAUGGGGGCUUCCUCUAUGUCUGAACCCAUGGCGUCUUGACUUCAACUGAGGUAAGCAUAGUGAGGCGCUAUUAACGCGUUUCUCCUUUCCCGCUCUCUCUACUGGAUGAGGGUGUCUUCCUUUGCUGUCUCAACCCAACUCUUGGCGUUUUGACAGGAUGCCCCAAAGGAGGAGACAGGGGAUCUGGUUAUAUGGGAACAGAAAGGGUUGCUUAAGUGUUUCGCCUGAGUGUCUAGAGAAGCAAUUUCUUGGGAGCUCUUAUCUGUCCUGUGUUAUCACUUGCUGAGCUCUUGGUGGCUGUUUUCCACCAAGAAAACAAGGAAACCACAUUACAGAUUAGGAAACUAGUAGCCCAUGUAUACAAGAAGAAACAAAUCUACUGACCCAGACAGGGGAAGAGCCUUUUAUUCUACACCACAGCCGGAACCCAGGGUGGGGCAGAUUCCAAAGUUACCCACUCAGAAGAAACAGAGCUUUAAAGAGCUUUGUACAGGGACUGGAGGGACUGUCACGAGCAGAGAGCCACAGUCCCCGACGCUGAGCCGGCUGGAGCAUAAUGUCAGGGAUACGCACAGUUGACAUUGAGGGUCCCUCUUACGGUGGUCCCAGGUGCUAGGUUUCCUGAGGAGACUCUGAUCUCAGCACCUUCCCUUUCCAGUCAGAGCACUUGGAUGGAGACCGAGGAGCUGGCUCUGUGGCCACACUGUCACGCCUCACUGAGAGUCGGUGCGAUGGCUUGGACAUCUAUUUCAGGCUGGCAGCUGCGUCUCUCUUCAGAGUUUUAAAACCGAAAUUUGAAAGCUAAUAACCUUGGACCUGGCACAAGUCAUGAUGGUUUCUUUUUCUUUUUUUUUUUAAGGAAAUAUAAAAUUCACAUCAAUAUUUAAUCACUAGGGUUCGGAAGAGCGUGGAGCUGCGAUUCGAUGUCAGUGUCCACCUGCUCCCCGAAGGCUGGCUUGCUCUCUCACAGGCCCAGUAGGGGCUGUGGGGAGCUGGGCCCCCUCCUUGCAUGCUCCUUAACAAUGUCUACAGUCUCUCCAGGGGGAGCUCCAGAUGGUUAAGGAAACACUACAGACCAUGUUCCUGCAGCUCCAGCCAGCAAAGGAGGCAGGAGGAGAGGCCUCAGCUUCCUAUUCGACAGCUGGUGCUCAGGAAGCCGAGGACUGAGGUCUCUGUCUUUCUCCGUUCGAAACCAAACCUGAGAAGGCCACUGCACCUGCCGGCGUCUCUCUACAGGCACUGGAACACCAGGACUCCACAAACCUCAGAGUCUGUGCAGGUCCUUAGCUCCCCAGGCUGCUUCCUCUAGGGGCUCUGCUCAGUCUCAGGAGACGUCUACAGGGUGCCUCAGUCUUUAUGUUCUCCAGCAAUGGCUGCAGCUCAGAACCACCAUCACCACCACCACCAUCACCAGCAGUGUCUGCUACGUCAGGUCAUUUUGAGAUUCCAGCCAGUGAGGUGGGAGGUGUGAAUGUGGGGAGAGGCAUGGACGCAGGAGGAGACAAAGGACACCCGUGAGCCUCUCCAGUUCCCGUUUUGUCUCCGGGGAAUUACAGCGUGGAGCCUAAAGAGCAGUGUCUAUUCCCUGAGGCAAUGUGGACUCAGGCAGCUCACAGCUCCAUAAUGGUGUGUGGCAGCUUCCUGUGAAUUGCUCCUUGGGCUCAGCCGAGACUCCUGCAGAGGCAGCUGUGGGCGGUUUGUUCAAGCAGGCAGAAGAGAUGAGCUAAGAGAGGGCAUCAGGUAGUUUCUGGUUGCUGUGAAAAACUACCUGGCAAAAACAACUUGGUAGGAAGGAAGGGAGGGAGGGAGGGACGGAAGGAAGGAGGAAUGAAGAACAGAAAGAAGGAAGGAAGGAAGGAUAGAAGGAGGGUAGGUGGGUUUCCUUGGGCUCCUCGUUUGAGGCUGCAGUCUAUCACAGUAGGGAAUGCAUGGUGGCAGGACCAUGAGGCAGUUGUUCACACCGUGUCCUCAGACAGGAAGCAAAGAGAUCAACGCCACUUUAAUCUCUUCCCCCCUCUAUUCGGUACAAAGUCUCAGCCCGUGUGAUGCCACAGCCCGCAUUUACAGUGGGUUUCCCUCGGUCACGUGUCUUUGGAAACACCCUUUUGGACAUACUUGGAGUUUUGCCUUCUAGGUGACUCUGAGCCCAGUAAAGUUGAUAAUAAUGAUGAAUGACCACAGGAGGGUACCUCAGAGACGUAAGUCUAUAUGGUAAGACCUGGCCUCAUAACUCCUGCUUGGGAGUCAACUCAGCCAGCCGCCCUGUGAGAGGGCUGGUACGAUAAAGUCCACCAGCUUCCAUCUAACCCAACAUUCCCAAGCCUAAUGGACUUCAGAUCUCUUCCUGUGAAGCUACUGGCCCCUUCAGUCUUGGGGGACAUUAUGCUGUACCCUCUGGGAUGACUCCAGUGACCUGUAUUUUGGAGACCAAGCCCAGCCUUCUCCCACUGAGCUCAGCAUAGCCUGACCUCUCUAAGGUGCUCUACUCGAGUUUGUACCUAUGGAGAUAGACACACUCUUGCCUCCCUCUGGGUCCACGGGUCCAGCUUUAACCUUUCCUCAUCACCCUUCCAUUUCGGGGAGGCUCCUGGUGGUUCUCCAAGCCCUCUGUGCUGACGAUCACUUUGCCCUCAUUGAAGAGAAGCCUGCUCCCUGACUUCGGUGUUAUCUGAACAAUUUUGAGGACACAUUUUGUAUAUUUGAAUAAGAAGUAUGUUUACUUUGUUUCCAGAUAUUUUGAUAAUGAAACAAAUUCGUGAAUCAUUUAUAAUUGUGCCCCUAAAGGUUUGGUGGAUCAAUCACAUGGCACCUGGAGCCCCCAAAUCCUCGGUGUGAUUUUAGUGGAGCAAACUUGAUAUCAGGAUCACCCCCUGUUGGCAAGAACCUUCCUGACUCUGACACCUUCCAAGCAUGAGUCACCUGACUGUCACUACCAGCCUGUGCAUUUUAUGUUAUUCUGACACCACUGUAGCUCUCUGUGAGGUCAUGAAGCAUUUAAAAGCUUAAGGAGAUGAGAAAUCCGUGAGGGUUCAGGGGAGGGACAACUGAGUGCCCAGUUGGUUGAAUGGCAUUUCAAUCAUAAGUCGUCCCACAUCUCCUGGCAUUCUCUGGGCUUAAAGUGCCAUCAGGAUUAACUGUUGAAGGCUGGUGUCUCCUGGGACCUCGUAACCAUCUCAUGACAACCUUCCUCUCAUUAGCCACUUGGACCCUAGGAGAUCCAGGACUUGUGGAUCCCCAACUAUAGGACAGGACAGGUUUUUACAUGGCCACAUAAAAAUGCCCCAGAGAGGUUGGUGCCUGAAUUUAGACUCUUAGGAGAGGACCAAGCCCCCAGCAAAGGUAUGUGUUAAAAGGGGGACACAACAUCAAUCUUGUCUAUGACGACAGUGCACACGUUUCACCUUAUAAAUACGCUCUAUUCCCCUUAUCCAUUCAUAUGUUGAUGGGCUGAUUUCAUAAUCCGGCUGUCACUGUGAUGUGUCACUGUGACUUCUGCAAGGGAGGAACCUGGGGGGCGGGAGGGGCAGCGGCUCCAUGAGCAUCCUCAUUAUCUCAUUAUUGCCAGGUCUAGCUCCUGAAGCUUUACAGCAUUGAUCAAUCAAUCCCUGAAUCAGGUUAAUAUGUCACAAUUGAUUCUAGUCCUGCCUGGUGAUGAGGCCGCCUCCCACCCCAGGAAUGCUUGUGGAUGGGCACCACGCUGAGCCCUUCAACUGUCUUGGCAAUCAUACCUCUCUGCCUGAGGAGAGUGUUGCACAAAUGGUGUUCACAGGCCUCAGGCUUUGGGAUGGCCGAGUCCUCUUCCUAAGACUCAGAGUUGGUUUGAAUGACGGUCAUGGGGAAUCCUGACCCCCCCACGGGCAGCUGUUCCUAACCAGUGUCCUUUCUAAAGUGCCUUCAACACCCUCUUUGCGUUUUGAGCUAUGAAACUCAUCCACCAGCUAAAACCCAUGACUGCCUCAUGAAUUCUGCCUGAGAGCAGCGAGCCACUGAACUUGGGGUCCCCUCACCCCCCCCCAGCAAACCAUACUAUGUAGCCUAGGCUCUGGUUGGCUAUAGAAACCCCAAACUCUAUCCACUGCCCUGGCCCAGCCUUUCCCAGUCACCCAAAGAUCAUUCCAGGGGCGCCACUCACAGCCUCCUACUGGGUGGGUUUUCUGGAAACUUUCAAUGUAACUGGUGUUUUCUCAGAACGUAUUUGUUUGCUAUGGGCAACAUGAGCAACAUGUACAUGUGUGUCCAGGUCCAUGUGCUGCGGUUAACAGCAACCACGUACAUGUUGGUCAGCGCCCUCUUGUGUACAUAGCUGACCUUUAAUCUUAACGCCACCACUUUAUUUGAUCUUCGAUUUUGUCGUGUAAGUUAUUGCUUGAUUAAGCUCUGUAUGAAAUGAAAACUGAUACCCAGACCAUGGUGCUCCCUGGGGUUAUUUAGUAUUCUGGAGGGGAGAUGACAGAAGGAGGUCAGAUUGGCUCAUUUCACCAAUCUGUGGCAAGAUAAUUAAAUAGCUGUGUGUUUGCUUAGACCGACCGGAGUCCUUGCAAUAAAGUUACAUUGUAAAAUC